GUGAAUCAUCGAAUUUUUGAACGCAAAUUGCACUCUCCUCGGAGAGGAUGCCUGUUUGAGGUUCAGCCUAUAAAAAUCUACAUCGUUGCUUUUUCGCGUUAACGUUCGUCGGAAAUUGGUGCAUCUUAAAUCUUUUGGUUUAAGCGACUUAAAAAUUUCUUUGAUUCCAUGAACGUUUCGAAGAUUUUUCUUUACACUUUUAGGGUAUCGAUUUAUUAGACGUGGCCUUAAUAUCGGAUCGCGUCCAUAAUCUUUCAUUAACUUACCUCAG
rnacentral:misc_RNA from 1 species